CCGUUGUUGUUAUUCUAUUGGGUUAUAUGUUGGGAAGAAUCAUGGUUACUUUAGUUGUUGAUAUUUGUUUAGUGGAGGCAUCGGUGGGUCAGCUGCUCGUUUUGUGACGGCUCACUUGUGUUUCCUAAAUAUCUUAGGACCCCGAGUUCUUGUUAUCUGUUCCGAGACUGAGCGCUCUAACCACACGUGGGUAUGCUUACCGGGUCUCCCCUCGACCACUGCCGGAAUCUAUAGCUUUGUCCAGUGGCCACAAUUAGUUUGAAUGCUUUGUUUCUCUCGGGCGUGCAAGCUUGUUUCUUUGUGGUCAGAUGAUAUGAUGUUACUUUUGGGGAAGCCGUGAGUGCCUUGUAACCCCGUUGUCUCUUGCACGCUCGUAGGUGCGGUCCGCAUUGUUAAGAGGUCAUCCUCUAGUGGGCUCUGAUCCUCUUAGCCGUUCUCGCAACAGCUAGGACCGCCUCGGAGUUUCGAUCGGGCUCUGAAACGGGUUAAACUUAGUUAGGUGGCUUCCUGGACAUUGUUGUCGUGAAGGAGAGUGCGUGUCAUGAUAUCCACCUGUCGUAAGUGGGUUGAGCGUGCGUGUGGGCACAUUUGGGCACCCCUGCAGGGUUACAAUCUUAUCGAUAAGCCGCGUCCGCGGUUAUGGACGACUUGGAGCUGUAUGACUCGACCAUAGACAACUUACACCUGUUGUUUCAAUCAUAAUAACUUGUGUAGUAAGUAGCACAACUUCAAUAAUAAAUGGUUAAAACUUGUCCACCGUGUGAGUGCCCUUGUAAGUACUUCCUUGCGAGGGGGGAACGCAUCGGAUGCGUUAUGUUUGCAGAGUAUAGAACUGUUAGUUAUGCGCUCUCCCACCUUCUCUGAUAGACGAAUGUUGUAGAGUGUCUCUAUAGGUUUUUAGUGCUUGCGCGCUGCCGCUUAACCCCACCAUAUUGCCUAUGACGUUCCUCUUGCGUCCUCUAAGUCCCCUGCGUGCCUCAAGUACAAAGGACGACUGGUUGACGAAUGCUUAUACGUCUUGAAGUCUUGUUAAGUACGAACCCGUACUUAUUGCUGCUUCUACAGGAUAUAACCGGGCAGGUAUGAAGAUCGGUACGAUGAAGAUGACGUUAGCAAGGUUACCCUUCCGGCUUGGCCUGGGCAGGGUUAUGGACGCCGCUGGUUAUCUUCAGGACUCUUAGUCCAAUUUGUAUCUUGUCCGUACUCGGACGUAUUCGAUCUUCUGUAUGAUUUGGAUCUUUGUAUUGUAUAUUUGUAUCUUGACUCGUUGGAGUCGUUGUUGUAAUAUA